CGGGAUAUCGUAUAGUGGUAGUACGCGGCCAUGGGGUGGCUGUAGUCCCGGUUCGAUUCCGGGUAUCCCGA
rnacentral:tRNA from 5 species